UGGCUCAGAUUGAACGCUGGCGGCAGGCCUAACACAUGCAAGUCGAACGGUAACAGGAAGCAGCUUGCUGCUUUGCUGACGAGUGGCGGACGGGUGAGUAAUGUCUGGGAAACUGCCUGAUGGAGGGGGAUAACUACUGGAAACGGUGGCUAAUACCGCAUAACGUCGCAAGACCAAAGAGGGGGACCUUCGGGCCUCUUGCCAUCAGAUGUGCCCAGAUGGGAUUAGCUUGUUGGUGAGGUAACGGCUCACCAAGGCGACGAUCCCUAGCUGGUCUGAGAGGAUGACCAGCCACACUGGAACUGAGACACGGUCCAGACUCCUACGGGAGGCAGCAGUGGGGAAUAUUGCACAAUGGGCGCAAGCCUGAUGCAGCCAUGCCGCGUGUAUGAAGAAGGCCUUCGGGUUGUAAAGUACUUUCAGCGGGGAGGAAGGUGUUGCGGUUAAUAACCGCAGCAAUUGACGUUACCCGCAGAAGAAGCACCGGCUAACUCCGUGCCAGCAGCCGCGGUAAUACGGAGGGUGCAAGCGUUAAUCGGAAUUACUGGGCGUAAAGCGCACGCAGGCGGUCUGUCAAGUCGGAUGUGAAAUCCCCGGGCUCAACCUGGGAACUGCAUUCGAAACUGGCAGGCUUGAGUCUUGUAGAGGGGGGUAGAAUUCCAGGUGUAGCGGUGAAAUGCGUAGAGAUCUGGAGGAAUACCGGUGGCGAAGGCGGCCCCCUGGACAAAGACUGACGCUCAGGUGCGAAAGCGUGGGGAGCAAACAGGAUUAGAUACCCUGGUAGUCCACGCCGUAAACGAUGUCUACUUGGAGGUUGUGCCCUUGAGGCGUGGCUUCCGGAGCUAACGCGUUAAGUAGACCGCCUGGGGAGUACGGCCGCAAGGUUAAAACUCAAAUGAAUUGACGGGGGCCCGCACAAGCGGUGGAGCAUGUGGUUUAAUUCGAUGCAACGCGAAGAACCUUACCUGGUCUUGACAUCCACAGAAGAAUCCAGAGAUGGAUUUGUGCCUUCGGGAACUGUGAGACAGGUGCUGCAUGGCUGUCGUCAGCUCGUGUUGUGAAAUGUUGGGUUAAGUCCCGCAACGAGCGCAACCCUUAUCCUUUGUUGCCAGCGAUUAGGUCGGGAACUCAAAGGAGACUGCCAGUGAUAAACUGGAGGAAGGUGGGGAUGACGUCAAGUCAUCAUGGCCCUUACGACCAGGGCUACACACGUGCUACAAUGGCGCAUACAAAGAGAAGCGACCUCGCGAGAGCAAGCGGACCUCAUAAAGUGCGUCGUAGUCCGGAUUGGAGUCUGCAACUCGACUCCAUGAAGUCGGAAUCGCUAGUAAUCGUGGAUCAGAAUGCCACGGUGAAUACGUUCCCGGGCCUUGUACACACCGCCCGUCACACCAUGGGAGUGGGUUGCAAAAGAAGUAGGUAGCUUAACCUUCGGGAGGGCGCUUACCACUUUGUGAUUCAUGACUGGGGUGAAGUCGUAACAAGGUA
rnacentral:rRNA from 1 species